rnacentral:rRNA from 1 species
CUCAGUACGGCGAGUGAAGCGGCAAAAGCUCAAAUUUGAAAUCUAGCACCUUCGGUGUUUGAGUUGUAAUUUGAAGAUGGUAACCUUGGGUUUGGCUCUUGUCUAUGUUCCUUGGAACAGGACGUCAUAGAGGGUGAGAAUCCCGUCUGAUGAGAUGCCCAUUCCUAUGUAAGGUGCUAUCGAAGAGUCGAGUUGUUUGGGAAUGCAGCUCUAAGUGGGUGGUAAAUUCCAUCUAAAGCUAAAUAUUGGCGAGAGACCGAUAGCGAACAAGUACAGUGAUGGAAAGAUGAAAAGAACUUUGAAAAGAGAGUGAAAAAGUACGUGAAAUUGUUGAAAGGGAAGGGCAUUAGAUCAGACUUGGUGUUUUACGAUUAUCUUCUCUUCUUGAGUUGUGCACUCGUAUUUCACUGGGCCAGCAUCGAUUCGGAUGGCAAGAUAAUGGCAGUUGAAUGUGGCUUCACUUCGGUGGAGUGUUAUAGCUUCUGCUGAUAUUGCCUGUCUGGAUCGAGGGCUGCGUCUUUUGACUAGGAUGCUGGCGUAAUGAUCUAAUGCCGCCCGUCUUGAA